UACGUAGGGGGCAAGCGUUGUCCGGAAUCAUUGGGCGUAAAGGGCGCGUAGGCGGCUAGAUGUGUCAAAGGUGAAAUCCCUCGGCUCAACUGAGGAACUGCCUUUGAAACUGUCUGGCUUGAGGCCGGGAGAGGGUAGCGGAAUUCCCAGUGUAGCGGUGAAAUGCGUAGAUAUUGGGAGGAACACCAGUGGCGAAGGCGGCUACCUGGACCGGUUCUGACGCUGAGGCGCGAAAGCGUGGGGAGCAAACAGG
rnacentral:rRNA from 1 species